GAACUCCUGACCUCUAGUGAUCUGUCCAACUCAGCUUCCCAAAAUGCUGAGAUUACAGGUGUGAGCCACCGUGUCCAGCCAGAAAACCUUUGUGGAGGUGCUGGGGAUUGACCCAGGGCCUCAUGCAUGCUAAGCGUGCGCCCUACCACUGAUCUACACCCCCUUUAAUUCUUAACAUCAGAAAUAUUAUUCAACAGACACAUAUCAGAGUUGAGGGAAAUUAUUGGAAAAUUGAGACCAAAAAAAGCAUACAGAAAGUUAAUUUAUUUUCUAGACAGAACUCUGCUAGUAUUAGAAUCAAAUACUUUUAAUUAGAUAGUAAUUUACUUGCUUUCUUGUAACUUAUGGCCAUCUUCUCUAGUCUGUUUGUUACAGUCCUACACAUAUUAAAUAGCAAAAACAAACUAAUUAUAUAUUUUGCAUGAUCAGUAUGUUACAACAUUAAGAUCAGACUAAUAAUACAAGUCACCUACUCCAUUGCCAAUUUUUAUACUCCCUGCAAUCUUACAGCACAUCCUCAUAUGAACAAAAAGCCUUUAUAUUUAUCUUACAGAGGAUAUAAACAUCAAUUUAUAAAAAAGAGACACAAGCCUUAUAUAGUUAAAAGUAAUAUAAUUAACAUGAUUACAAAAACAUUUCUAAUAAAGCAGAGGAAAUAAUUAUAUUGCUUGUAGUUCUAGUAAGAGUUUAUUGAACCAUUAAAAAUAAUUUCAAAACAAUAAAAUACAAAGGCAAAUAUCCAAAUAGUUUUGUAUGGAUCUAGCAUUCACUUUUCCUUGAUCCAACCUAGUUUUAAUUCCUAUGGCCUACAGGAUGGCUUAGAUAAGGAAGAAGCUAAAAAUUGGCUGUUACAGAGUUGCAGUUGUGUGGCAUAUGGGUGAUCUACGUAACUGAAGUUGAAGGGAGAAAUGCAAUCUUCCCCCAAAACCUGCUUUUCCUUCAGUCCACUGUCACAAUCCUGAGUCCAGCUACUCUCUCAACAUCUCCAUCUCCCUGGCUAAAACCUCCCAUCUCUCAUCUGGGUUGUUGUAAAGCCUCCUAACUAACCUCACUUCUUUUGCCUUUGCCUGCUAUGAUUAAUUCCCAACCCAGUAGCCAGACUGAUCCUCUCCUCAAAGCUCUCCAGUGGCAUUUUUUUUUUUUUUUUUUUUUGAGACAGAGUCUUGCUCUGUCACCCAGGCUGGAGUACAGUGGGGCGAUCUCGGCUCACUGCAACCUCCACCUCCCGGGUUCAAGUGAUUCUCCUUCCUCAGCCUCCUGAGUUGCUGGGACUACAGGCGCAUGCAACCACACCUGGCUAAUUUUUUUUUUUUUUUUAGUAGAGACGGGGUUCCACCAUGUUGGCCAGGAUGG
rnacentral:tRNA from 1 species